ensembl:snoRNA Small nucleolar RNA SNORD41
CUGGAGAUGAUGCAUUAAAAAAAACAUCUGACCUGUUGCUGAUGGUGUUUGUAUUCAUACUGUCUGAUCCAG